AAGGCCCUGCUGUGUUCGUGUUUACCGAUAAAGUUUUGAGCUAACACUUGAUUCAAGGGAGCCUGGCCUUUAGCUGUGGCGUAGCAGCCUCCUCCGAGGGGACCUGCAAAGCAGUUAAGAGGGCACCCACCUUUAGGGGGAACAAGUUCAAAACCUGACGGUCCACGGCAUAGCGGGGUUUUU
rnacentral:other from 1 species